UCUGUUCUAACUCAUUUAUCUACCUAUUUCUUCACAGGUUUUUGUCCACAAUGAACACAGGAAUUGAAUAUAAACCUUUUAAUGUACUACAUACAUUGACGAAUUCUCAUUUUCAUGAACUUUCUUGAAACAAACCUUACUGUAUUGCAAAGUAGUCUGCUCUCUCCUCCUUAGCAUGACAUUAUGUUCAUAUUCAACAAUUUGGGAACAAGGAAAGGAGGGGAUAUUGCAUGAAGAAGAUGUGUUGUGUGAGAAGAAAAUACAGGAUAAUGUGCCAAUGUUAGUGUCGGCAAUAUUUUUAUCCUACAUCUAAGGUGAGCAUACUUCAGUUUGAUGUAGUAUUAUGUAAUAUUAAUAAAGGUAAAAGCUUUGUGUGAAAGUCAAGUAUAACAUUAUUAAUUGCAUAUUGAAAUAACUUAUUUUAUAAAGUUUCAUGAUAAACAAAAAUAGUGAAAUCAGUUCCAGCCACAGGCAUGAAAUGAAAACCUUUCUUAUAGAAGUGGAGGCUCGGGUUAAUGGUCUGAGACUGACUUUCAUACUCCUGUCUUUACACUUACUCCCUUUCCGUGCUCUCUUUUUUCUCUGUUCCCUCUUUACUACUCUUUCUCAUCUGCUUAACCCUUGCACCCCUCCCCCUUCUAUCACCACCAACAUCCCUUCUGUCUUCUGUAACUAAUCAAUUCCUGGUCUCAUUGUAUUGACCCCAUAUUGCAUAAGGCUAGCACAUCAGACUGCUGAAGAUCUGAGAUCAGAAGCAUCCUCUUAUCCUGAAUUCAUUAUAUUUCUUUAGAAUAUUACCAUGCGUUAUUUGCAGGGAUGUGAACUGGGGGUGCUCAUAUUACAAAAUGUGUGCUACUGACUGCACUAUGCAUUUAGAAGAUUGAGAGUGGAGUGUAAUUAUGACGAGCUUUAUGUGUAAACUUGUAUGUUGAAUGCUGUCUUUACCAACUGAAAUUAUAUAUUCAAAUGUUCAGAAGCUACAUAUCUAGAUGCAGUAGGUAUAAAUGGGUAAUAUUUUAGUGUAUUACAUUGUUACAUUUGGUAAGGAAAUGCUAUAGAGAAUGAUAAGUUCUGCUAGUGAAGAAAAUACUAAAUUUUAAUUGCUGUCUUUGAGACAAAAGCUAAAUCAGGAAAGAGUUAGCAACAACUGUUUGGGAAAUCUACAUGACCUGGUGCUUACUUUCUUCUCUAAACUGUUAUUAAUUAUACAUACCAGUAAGAGGUUGUUUUUCUUUUUCAGAUUCUAGAAACAUUGUUGGUAAUCAGAGAAAGACUGAGCGAUUGCUAGAAACUUCAGGAAGCUGAUGACUUUUUUUCUUUUAAAAUAUUCCAGUCACAAUUAAUUUUACCACUUAAUAUUCCAACUAUUUUGUUCCUUUUGUUCAGUUAAGUUGAUGACUUGAUAUUAAUGGACAGGGGCAAAAGCUAAACAACAUUAGAUCAGACUAAAAAAUUCUUUCCAUUGUGAACACACUAUAAGCUCGAGAACUUCUCCGAACUGUUAUAUCUGCUUAGACCUGAGGGUCAGUGUGCCUAGAGGACACAUCCUCAACAAUGAAUAUUUUUCCUGAAUGGAAUUACUGUAACAUUUCAACUGUGCAGGUGCUGAGAGAUGUUUACAUUUGAAAUGGUGAUGGGGAAACUCAUAUUACUACUAUUUAUUACCAUAAAGGUAAAUGUCGGAAGUGCCCCAAUUUACAGACCUGGGAAAGGCCCUGAGGCUGUAAGAAAUGUCCUGGACAGUGUAAGCCUAGCAAAUGGUCAGCAAGUAAAACAACAAAAAGAAGAGGAAGAAAAAGAAGAGAAGAAAAGGAAAAGGAUUCAAAGACCUUAUAAAAAGAAAUCUUAACCCAAAUCUAAGAGGAUGCAAACUUCUGAAUCAAGUCCUUUCACAGUGAAGGGCUGAUAUAGUCAUUUACAAAAGCAAAAUAGCAAACCAUUUUUAUUUUCCUGCAGUUGACCAUAUAUCCUGUGCACUGAAUAGAAGUGUUUCUUGACGUCCCAAAACCUUGAGUCCAAGAUCAACUGGCAGCAUUUUAGUUUACCUCUGGUAUUGUCUAUCACAGCUUGUUUUGCUAAGGAGUAAACCAAAUCCAGGAAAGAGACUUCCUUUUUGCCAGUUUCCAAAAGGACAAUCUAUUUGAGAAACGUAAACCAUUUUCUUAAUUCCUUCAUGUGUUGAUUUUUUACUGCAAAAUUAUUUCAUGUAUUGCAUAAAGAAAUUUACAGUGUAUUUUCCUGAAACCUAAAAAAAAAAUAGAGCAUGUUGACUGUAUCAUGCUGCAAGCAGGGCCAAGCAUAAUCUGUUGUCUCUGGACUUACAGAUACGAAUGUCUGGGGGCAUGUCACAAGGAAUAAUAGUUUUGUAUAACUUUUCUUUUAGCUAUAGCAGGUGUCUACCUAUAUUUUUCCUCCGAAUGUAUCAUCUGUCUGCAUUGAAACCAUUUAGUAUUCACUAGAUUAAUGAAUGUUACAAGUAUAUUUGCAUAAUUUAAUAUUUUGUCUACCUAUACUGAAAACGUGUGUGCAUCACACUGGGCCAGGGUAUAACUACUUGGGGAUUAGGGUGUCAUAGGGAAAUGCACUGAAAGAUGAUGAUCUUACUUGACAAGUUAAAAUGUAAGUUAGAUUUGUAAAUAUCAACAGAAAGCAUAUCCACUUGGUAAUAUAUCUUCAAGUUUCAGGUGAGACCUAUGUAUGGGCUGAUUCCCUCCCCCCUCCUCUUGCUAUACUAAACUUUGCCUCUAUACUAGUACCAAAAGCCUAAAUUUGUGUGGAUUUUUAUGGAAAUUGUUGAAGAAAUAAUGGGGGUAAAGCAGUGUGAAGGUAUAAAACUUGUGUAUUGAGAUUGGAGGAUGUAAAGUUUGCACUUGUAAAGUUUGCACUAACUUUAAACUCCUUUAUAUUAAACUUUAAGUGAUAUUAUGACAUUUGGCUCUUUUAAUCUGAAUCCUUCUGUAUUCAUAAUCUUUAGAAUAAUGCUCAUAUUUGUAUUGCACUUGACUCAUCCAAAUUAUAACAACAAAAGAACAAUUAAUUUUAAGGAAAUAUUUAGUAUUUAGACAGUCAUAUUCAAUACACAGCAGUAGGAAAAAUAUCCAGGUAUAGUUUUCUUAUUUACUAAUUAAAUUUCAGUAUUGCUCUGUAAAGGAGAAAUUGAUGAAAUAUAGUGUGAAAAUGUAUCUUUCAUAGAAAAUGUGUUAAAAAAAAAUUGUAAACUUUUUGUAGGGCUUACACCCACAAAACCUUCUACAUCAUUGCUGCCUAGUAAACUGAUGAUUAACACCUAAUUCUGGGCUAGGACAAUAACCAUUACCUGUAUAUACACCUCUCUCCCAUUUAUGCUUAGUAGCUGAUAAGGCUAAACUGGCCUUGACUACUGCAGCUGGAGAUGGUUUGGCCUCGGUAUCUACCACAUCCUCUGAUAUGUUAGAUGACCCAGAUUUUUAUCCUAUGUUAUUUUCAUUGCCAGAAACCUGUCUCAUAUAAUCAGUAAUCUCAUCAUCUCUGAAAUACUUCUACUCAUUCUUUAAAAAAAAAAAAAAAAAAAAAAAAAAAAAC